UACGUAGGGGGCAAGCGUUGUCCGGAAUCAUUGGGCGUAAAGCGCGUGUAGGCGGCCUUGUAAGUCCGUUCUGAAAGCCCGGGGCUCAACCCCGGGAGGCGGAUGGAUACUGCAAGGCUCGAGUACGGAAGAGGCGAGUGGAAUUCCUGGUGUAGCGGUGAAAUGCGCAGAUAUCAGGAGGAACACCGGUGGCGAAGGCGGGUCUCUGGGCCGAUACUGACGCUGAGGAGCGAAAGCGUGGGGAGCGAACAGG
rnacentral:rRNA from 1 species